GACGACGCUGGCGGCGUGGAUUAGGCAUGCAAGUCGAACGGUAUCAUCCUUUCGGGGGUGAGAGAGUGGCGAACUGGUGAGUAACACGUAGGUUAUCUACCCUCAAGACGGGGACAACCCAGGGAAACUUGGGCUAAUACCGGAUGUGAGCAACUUUUAGUUGUUUGAAAGGUGGCGUAAGCUGUCGCUUGGGGAUGAGCCUGCGUCCUAUUAGUUAGUUGGUGAGGUAACGGCUCACCUAGGCAAUGAUAGGUAGGCGGCCUUAACGGGUGGUCGCCCACACUGGGAUUGAGAUACGGCCCAGACUCCUACGGGAGGCAGCAGUCGAGAAUAGUCUACAAUGGCCGAAAGGCUGAUAGUGCGACGCCGCGUGAACGAAGAAGCCCUUCGGGGUGUAAAGUUCUUUUAUAUGUGAGCAGUGCUUUCUAUGUGAACAGCAUGGGGAGAGAGAUAUUAGCAUAUGAAUAAGCAACGGCUAACUCCGUG
rnacentral:rRNA from 1 species